AAUGAACGUUGGCGGCGUGGAUUAGGCAUGCAAGUCGAGCGCGAACCCCGCAAGGGGUGAAAGCGGCGAAAGGUAGAGUAACGCGUGGGUAUUUACCCUCGGGACUGGGAUAGCUGCGGGAAACUGCAGGUAAUACCAGAUGACGUCCCCGGACCAAAGGUCUGAUUCCGCCUGAGGAUAAGCCCGCGUCCUAUCAGCUAGUUGGUGAGGUAACGGCUCACCAAGGCAAUGAUGGGUACUGGGUGUGGGAGCGCGACCCAGCUCACUGGGACUGAGACACUGCCCAGACACCUACGGGUGGCUGCGGUCGAGAAUCUUCGGCAAUGGGCGCAAGCCUGACCGAGCGACGCCGCGUGUGGGAUGAAGGCCUUCGGGUUGUAAACCGCUGUCAGAGGGGAGGAAUGGGCGGAGGGUAAUCUCUUCGUUUUGACCUAUCCUCAGAGGAAGUACGGGCUAAGUUCGUGCCAGCCGCCGCGGUAA
rnacentral:rRNA from 1 species